UCGCGGCUUAUCACCGGCAGUCUCCUUAGAGUGCUCAACUAAAUGGUAGCAACUAAGGACGGGGGUUGCGCUCGUUGCGGGACUUAACCCAACAUCUCACGACACGAGCUGACGACAGCCAUGCACCACCUGUGAUCCUGCCCCGAAGGGAAGCCCUGUUUCCAGGACGGUCGGGAACAUGUCAAGCCCAGGUAAGGUUCUUCGCGUUGCGUCGAAUUAAACCACAUGCUCCGCUGCUUGUGCGGGCCCCCGUCAAUUCCUUUGAGUUUCAGUCUUGCGACCGUACUCCCCAGGCGGGAUGCUUAAAGCGUUAGCUGCGCCACUGACGAGCAAGCUCGCCAACGGCUAGCAUCCAUCGUUUACGGCGUGGACUAC
rnacentral:misc_RNA from 1 species